rnacentral:rRNA from 1 species
GUAGCAUAAUCAUUUGGGAUUUAAUUGGGGCCUAGAAUGAAUGGUUGGACAAAGGAAUAGCUGUCUUUAUGGUAGAGGUUGAAGUUUACUUUUAAGUGAAAAGGCUUAAAUAAAUCAAAGGGACGAUAAGACCCUAUAAAGCUUUAUAAAUAAUUUAAAUUUUAUUGAUGUAUUAGUUAAAGAUUAAGUUUGAUUAUUUAUUUCGUUGGGGUGACGAAGGCAUAAUUUUAAGUAACUGCUAAAGAUAUGAAGUAUUCUAUAAUAAGAGAAUUAUUUAUAUUGAUCCUAUAUAAAGAUUUAAAGGUUAAGUUACUUUAGGGAUAACAGCGUUAUUUCUUUUGAGAGUUCAUAUCGAAAAAGAAGAUUGCGACCUCGAUGUUGAAUUAAAAUAUCUAUAUAAUGAAGGUGUUAUAUAAGAGGGUCUGUUCGACCUUUAAAUUUUU